rnacentral:rRNA from 1 species
GAUGAACGCUAGCGGCAGGCCUAAUACAUGCAAGUCGAACGGUGUCUUCGGACAUAGUGGCGCACGGGUGCGUAACACGUAUGCAACCUACCUUACAUUGGGGGAUAGCCUUUCGAAAGGGAGAUUAAUACCGCAUAAGACAGUAGCUGGGCAUCCAGCAGCUGUUAAAGAUUUAUCGAUGUAAGCUGGGCAUGCGUCCAAUUAGCUAGUUGGUGAGGUAACGGCUCACCAAGGCAAUGAUUGGUAGGGGAACUGAGAGGUCAAUCCCCCACACUGGCACUGAGAUACGGGCCAGACUCCUACGGGAGGCAGCAGUAGGGAAUAUUGGGCAAUGGACGCAAGUCUGACCCAGCCAUGCCGCGUGCAGGAUGAAGGCGUUAUGCGUUGUAAACUGCUUUUAUACAGGAAGAAACGACUCUUGCGAGAGGCAUUGACGGUACUGUAUGAAUAAGCACCGGCUAACUCCGUGCCAGCAGCCGCCGCAUAAG